UACGGUAGGGGGGCGAGCGUUGUCCGGAGUUACUGGGCGUAAAGGGCAUGCAGGCGGUCGGACGCGUUUCGGGUGACAGCGGGGUGGCUUAACCUACCCGAGUGGUCGAAAGACGGUUUGAGCUUGAGGACGCGAGAGGGACACGGAAUUCCGGGUGGAGUGGUGAAAUGCGUAGAGAUCCGGAGGAACACCGAAGGCGAAGGCAGUGUCCUGGCGCGAACUGACGCUGAGGUGCGAAAGCCGGGGAGCGAACGGGAUAGAAACCCCGGGUAG
rnacentral:rRNA from 1 species